rnacentral:rRNA from 1 species
AACGAACGCUGGCGGCAGGCUUAACACAUGCAAGUCGAACGCCCCGCAAGGGGAUUGGCAGACGGGUGGGUAGCGCGAGGGGACAUAAACUCUCGUGCGGAAUAGCCCUGGGAAACUGGUAUUAUUACCGAAUACGCGCUACGAGGGGAAGGUUUAUCGGGGUAGGUUUGGCGCGCGUUGGAUUUGCGGGUUGGUGGGGUGAAGGCGCGCCAUGGCGACGAGCCAGAGCUGGGGUGAGAGGAGGAUCAGCCACCUGGGGACUGGGACCCGGGCCAAACUCCUACGGGAGGGAGCAGUGGGGAAUAUUGGACGAGGGGCGCAAGCCUGAUACAGCCACGCCGGGUGAGUGAUGAAGGGCGUAGUGUAGUAAAGCUCUUUCACCGAUGAAGAGAAUGACGGUAGUCGGAGAAGAAGCCCCGGCUAACUACGUG